UAUUCCAUAUCACCAAAAUAAUAUUAAACAUUAUUCUCUUCUCAACAUCUAAAUAAUAAACAUUAUCUCAAUCCAUAAAUACUAAGCCCUAAACUUUAAACAUCGCCCUUCCAUCUAAAUAUUAAACCCUAAACUCUAAUUACUAAACCCUAAACCCAAUAUAAAACAUAAACCCAAUUAUCAAAAUCUGAAAAUAAUAUAUAAUAUUAUGUAAUAUUAAACUAAACUCAGACCUAACUUUUGAAUAGUAU
rnacentral:lncRNA from 1 species